rnacentral:sRNA from 1 species
GCCGGGCACAGGAGUGCAUAUCUGUAAUCCCAGCAACUGGGGAGGCUGAGGCAGGAGGUUUGCAAGCUCAAGGCCGGUCUCAGUAAUUUAGUGAGGCCCUAAGCAACUUCGUGAGAACCUGUCUUAA